GUAACCAAUGGCCAAAGCUGGAACAAUGAUGCUUGCUCUUUUGCUCCUUCUUGAAAUCUAGCCACCAUGCUAUGAGGCCACCCAAGCAGCCAAGUGGAGAAUCGUGGUCGUGAAUGUCAGCCCAGCUGCCAGUUGAGUCUCCAGAUGACUGUAGCUCCCCACCACCCCAUCACCCCAUCUCACACUACAUGAAACAAAAGAACAAGCCAGUCAACCUACUGAAUCAUGAAGAGUAAUAAAUUGAUGUUUU
rnacentral:lncRNA from 1 species